UGUAGUACAAGUGAGGACACUGCAUAUGUUUCAGAUACAAAAAAUAAGUUAAAAUUAGUAAUUUUUGAGAAAAUAUAUUAAUACAUUAUUUAAUUUGUCUAGAUCAACAUGUAUGGAGUCGAUCAGAAACAAAACUACUUAUUAACUUUUAUAAAGAGCAAGUGGAAAAAUUUGACAAACCUAAAGUUUCGACAAAAAACUGCUGGAAUAUAUUGUCAAAAGAAAUGGAAAAAACUGGGUACCAAAUACCUCCAACAAAAUGCGCAACAAAAUUUCAAAGUUUAAAAAGGACAUAUAAAUCCAUUACUGACCACAAUAAAAAAUCAGGGAACAAUACAAAAAUGUAGGAAUAUUAUGAGAUUAUGCACGAGAUAUUUGGUACCAAGCCAUGGAUUCAACCACAAUCAAUAGCUGGGUCUAAUGUGAUCGCUAUUAAUAGCGACAUUGAAAACAAAGAUCCAAUAGCAUUAAAGAAACGAAAAAUAAAUCAUGUAGUGCAGGAUUAUUUUGAAAAAUCAAUACGACUGAAAGAAGAAAAAAAAAACACAUUUAAAAACGACACGAAAAGAAGAUGGCCUACCUGCAAAAAAUAGAAAGUUUAAUGACAAAAAUGGUAGAAAAAUAAUAUCGCGUUUUUGUAUUAUAGAAUAUAACACAAAAAUAUAACACAAGAGUUUAAGAGUUGGUUGAUAAUAGCCGCUGCUGUAAGAAAUUCACCAAUCAUAGUUGAUUAUUUUUUUAUACGUCGACUAUGAUUGAUCGAUUUCUUACGGCUAUUAUAAACCAACUUUAAGUUUUUAUUCUUUUAAUUUUUAUUAAAUUUGUUUUUAUUCUUUUACUUUAUCAUUACAAAUACAAGGCUAGCAUUUAUAGAUCAAUCUCUUUCAAAAUGGUUUUAAGUUUAGUUUUAAGAUGCUAAUAUUGUGAUUGAUUCAAGACAUCUUAAAAUUACACCUGAGAUGAUCUUAAAAUAUGAACAGACUGUGAAUGAGUAACCUGUUAUUACUUUAUUUGAAUUUAUUUUUAGUUUAUAAAUUUGUGUUUAUUAAUAUUAAUAUAGUAAUGUAUUUUUAUAAUAGCAAAGUAAGCAAAAGCAAGUACAAAGAUAAGUUUGCCAAAAGCAAUAUACAAUUAUGUGUUACCGUUGUAAUAUUAGGUGAUAUAUUUGUGCAGUGUUUUAUCAUUAUGUGAUAUUAUAUUAUGUGCUACACCUAUCCGUCUUAUUACUUUUAUUAUUGUAUUCUAUUAAGCUGAAUUUGUGAAC